AGAGUUUGAUCAUGGCUCAGGAUGAACGCUAGCGGCAGGCUUAAUACAUGCAAGUCGAGGGGCAGCGCAGUGUAGCAAUACAUGGGCGGCGACCGGCAAACGGGUGCGGAACACGUACGCAACCUUCCUUUAAGUGUGGGAUAGCUUUCGGAAACGGAAAUUAAUACCACGUAAGAUCAUAGGAUGGCAUCAUCCAGUGAUUAUAGCUGAGGCGCUUAAAGAUGGGCGUGCGCCUGAUUAGGUAGUUGGCGGAGUAACAGCCCACCAAGCCUACGAUCAGUAACUGGUGUGAGAGCACGACCAGUCACACGGGCACUGAGACACGGGCCCGACUCCUACGGGAGGCAGCAGUAAGGAAUAUUGGUCAAUGGACGCAAGUCUGAACCAGCCAUGCCGCGUGGAGGAUGAAGGUCCUCUGGAUUGUAAACUUCUUUUAUCGGAGAAGAAACCCACGAAUUCUUUUGUGGUUGACGGUACCCGAUGAAUAAGCACCGGCUAACUCCGUGCCAGCAGCCGCGGUAAUACGGAGGGUGCAAGCGUUAUCCGGAUUCACUGGGUUUAAAGGGUGCGUAGGUGGGAUGGUAAGUCAGUGGUGAAAUCUCCAAGCUUAACUUGGAAACUGCCGUUGAUACUAUCAUUCUUGAAUCUCGUGGAGGUAAGCGGAAUAUGUCAUGUAGCGGUGAAAUGCUUAGAUAUGACAUAGAACACCGAUAGCGAAGGCAGCUUGCUACACGAGUAUUGACACUGAGGCACGAAAGCGUGGGGAUCAAACAGGAUUAGAUACCCUAGUAGUCC
rnacentral:rRNA from 1 species